rnacentral:rRNA from 1 species
ACGGGUGAGUAAUGUCUGGGAAACUGCCUGAUGGAGGGGGAUAACUACUGGAAACGGUAGCUAAUACCGCAUAACGUCGCAAGACCAAAGAGGGGGACCUUCGGGCCUCUUGCCAUCAGAUGUGCCCAGAUGGGAUUAGCUAGUAGGUGGGGUAAUGGCUCACCUAGGCGACGAUCCCUAGCUGGUCUGAGAGGAUGACCAGCCACGCUGGAACUGAGACACGGUCCAGACUCCUACGGGAGGCAGCAGUGGGGAAUAUUGCACAAUGGGCGCAAGCCUGAUGCAGCCAUGCCGCGUGUGUGAAGAAGGCCUUCGGGUUGUAAAGCACUUUCAGCGAGGAGGAAGGUGGUGAGCUUAAUACGCUCAUCAAUUGACGUUACUCGCAGAAGAAGCACCGGCUAACUCCGUGCCAGCAGCCGCGGUAAUACGGAGGGUGCAAGCGUUAAUCGGAAUUACUGGGCGUAAAGCGCACGCAGGCGGUUUGUUAAGUCAGAUGUGAAAUCCCCGGGCUCAACCUGGGAACUGCAUUUGAAACUGGCAAGCUAGAGUCUCGUAGAGGGGGGUAGAAUUCCAGGUGUA